rnacentral:lncRNA from 1 species
AGCUCUCGCAUCACUGGUUCCUUGCCGCCCCCAAUUGACUGAGGAUGAGCCAGAUGUUGGAUGCCAACUGGCGAUCGAAGCCGCUGGCUUAAGAAGAAGAAGAAAACAACAGGGAUUUAUUCAUGGUCUACGAAUUAAGAGACACCAUGGUGGCUGUGAAAUGAAGCCAAUUGUCGGUCAAGCAGUGAUGUUGAGGAAGAAGGUGGAUGCAUGACCUGUAGUUGCUUAGAGUCGCAUGGGGACCCAAAAAGUAAUUAAUUUAGUAUUUGACCGGCCAGGAUAAAGAGCAUUAGCUGCAAUCUCUCUCUCUCUCUUCUUUUGUGCAUAUUGUGGAAUAUCCAUAGCAAUUUAAUUAGCUUUGAUGCUUCGUCAACGCCGCCAAAUUGAGGGGCGGUUGGGAUUAUGGGCAUUGUUUUGGGUUUGAUUUUGCUAAUCCUACGAGGAGACGAAUAAUGCUAACUACCGCUUAGCCGACCAAUAGAACAAGUGGGGAGACUGAGAGUGGCCACUCCUCCCUCCCUGCUGAGUUAGGAAAAGUAGAACGUAAAAAUUAGUUUUUUCUUAAACAAAGCACUAGAAGACGAGCUCCUGCAAGAAAGCAUGUUUGCUGCUUGUUGCGACUUGCGAGGGAGAUGGGAAUGUGUGUGGCAAAGAGGGGAUGAGGGGGUAAGUGGGAUUAUCUAUCAGCUAGUUUUUGUGUCUUGAGAAGGGUUGUAGGCUGGUGAGGACCGAUGAGAGAGACUGGUGGCCUUUUUUUCUUUUUUUUAAGAUCUAAUGCGUUUGCUUCGGAAUUGGUGGUGGAUUGACCAUUACACUUUCCAGCUGAAGAGCUUGAUAUUAUUGGAAGUUAAUUUGGAAGAACAAAUAAUAUUUUUAUUGUGCGUAGGAGGCCGACCACAUCACCUUGUUUGUCACUGCCUUUCUCUUUCUUUAUCAUUGAUUUCCUUGUUUUGCACUUUCCCCAUUAUUUGUGACUUAUAUAUAUAUAUAUAUAUUUCACUUAUUUCUUCCAUAUAUGGGAAGUCGGUGUUGCAAAAGUAUUUAUCAUCUAUAACAUCUCCAGGAUAAAUGUUUAGUUUGAUCAAAUCCACCACCAAGCUGGUGGGCAUUAUGUCCAACUAGAAAGCAACAUAGGCAAAUACGCUUUGGCACCCUUUCUCCUCCUCUUUCUUCUUUAUCCGUGUUUGUGCAUCUUAUUUCUUAGAUGGACUGGUCCACUGCUAAGCUGAUGGAUCUGAGCCAAUCAAUAAUUUCUCCUCUUUCCAGAGGCUUUAUGACUAAUUUCCAUGUGAGACAUAGCCCACAAGAAGCCUCUCCAACUUGUGGAUUGUCCCAUGACCUUAAGCAAAGGAGUUGAAGGACCCCUAUAUUUCACAAAGAGAAUGCUCUCUUUGAAAGUGAUCACAAGAAUUUAUCCAUAUAGAUAUUGUCUCGUGUUUUAUAUGUGUUAUCAUGUAUACUUAUGACAUGCUUAUCAUAUAAACUACCCUUUCACAUUCAAUAUCUACUUGGCUUAUGUGUGGUUUUCAUUUCUAAUAUUCCAAUGCAUUCAUCUAUAUUUUUGUUCUUUCCAAAAUAAAAUAUAAUUGUGGUAUGACAUUUUUUGAUGCAUUGAAAAAUGCUUUGUUCUCAUACAAAGACCCUGUUAGACAUGCGCUUUCCUUUUUAGAUAUUAACAGACAGGCUACAGUCUUAGAGCAUGGCUCUUUGCAAAAUGUCUUGGAAGGGAAUAGAUUAUGUUGGCUUACAUAUUUAGAUCCAUGUAUCCGUGAAAUGUUCAGUGUUUUACUCAAGUGUCAACUAGAAUUUACCACAUGCAAUGCACGUAGAUGGAUAUGUACGAGCUCCUGAGCAGAGCUUCUUGCACCACUUGGGAGUAAAUACUGGGUGUGAACCUACUGUUUUGGAUGUCACUAAUCCACAUUUAAUGGGUAAUUAGUUGUGAUAGGACAGUCUAGACCUAAUACAAGUAUUUCAGACCAAAUUAGCUUCAUGUGAGAAAGAUCAAUUUCUUUGGGUGUCAUGUGUUUUACAUGCAAUCGAUGAAUUAAUUAGUUAUUGUUUUAUAAGUUACAGGGGAGAAAUAUUUUCAUAGAAUGAAAAGGCAUGUACAUGAGAGCAAUUACAAGUGCCUAGAAAAAAAAAACAUAUCUUAAUUGGUUUAACAUGCUCGAUGCAGUCCAUUGGUAUUUUACUAGAGGCUUUGAUCAAUAUCUUUUAGAGAUAAAAUGGAACAUGAAUGGAUGUUAAAUUAAAAUCUUCAAAGGAACUGCUAUAGAGUAAGAACAAAAUUAUUUUUCAACAAAAAAGAAGGCUGGUUGGAUCUAGAAGGUUGGAUGGCUUCACCUACAAGGAAAUAUUUGAUGUUGUUGGACUCUAGUAAAGAGAUAACCUAAUAGAAACAUCUGCCUGUAUUAUCUAUUGUAAAAGGGAUGAUAGUGUAGAAGGGACAAAGGUUAAGGCAUAGGAAAGCAACACAGAUGGAGUGUAAUUCACUUUGAGAAUGAGCAAUGGAACUCAAGUUUUUCAUAGAGAUGAAUAUUAUAUAAAAAGGACUUGGUAGAGAAGGAUUUGUCUGGAAAGAGUUAAUUCAAAUAAUCUAUGUAUAGGAAUGUUCUUAAAGGUAAAGAUUAUUUGAAAGCUGAUCCAAUGAGGGAGAAGAAAGCUAUUCCUUUGGUCUACUCGAGAUAGAUCUCUCAUAGAAAAUAAUAAAAAAUUAAAAAAAUUAAAAACAGAGCUUCUAGCCUUUUUAAUUUCAUUAGUUAACGUUACAUUCAAAAAAAAGAUUUGUUUGUUAAUAAUAAAUUCAUGUAUAAAACUUUUAUUUACACUAGUGAGGUCUACCUCCUAAAUUAUAUUCCUUUUCUAGUCAAAGAAGGAAAACGUUUCUACAAUCAUAAAGAAAAUAGAUUGGAGUGAAACUUGUCCAGAAGUUGGAUCUCAACUCUGUCAAUCAACUUUACCUACACGUUAUCUAAUUUAUCUCUGA